GACGAACGCUGGCGGCGUGCCUAAUACAUGCAAGUUGAGCGCUGAAGGUUGGUACUUGUACCAACUGGAUGAGCAGCGAACGGGUGAGUAACGCGUGGGGAAUCUGCCUUUGAGCGGGGGACAACAUUUGGAAACGAAUGCUAAUACCGCAUAAAAACUUUAAACACAAGUUUUAAGUUUGAAAGAUGCAAUUGCAUCACUCAAAGAUGAUCCCGCGUUGUGUUAGCUAGUUGGUGAGGUAAAGGCUCACCAAGGCGAUGAUACAUAGCCGACCUGAGAGGGUGAGCGGCCACACGGGAACUGCGAAACGGUCCAGACGACGACGGGAGGAAGAAGGAGGGAAUCUUGCGCAAUGGGCGAAAGUCUGACGGAGCAAGGCAGAGGGAGUGAAGAAGGUCUUCGGAGCGUAAAACUCUGUUAUUAGGGAAGAAAAAAGGUGGAAGUAACUAGGCACGGCUUGAAGGGACCUAAUCAGAAAGACACGGCUAACUACGUG
rnacentral:rRNA from 1 species